CAUUCUCUACAGGAAACACAGAAAUAAACACACUGUCAAACAGCAGAUCUAAACAUCACACUCUGACAGAUAUUACAAUUAAUCAUUCACAAUUAUACACAUUUGCAGCCUAAAUAUUGACUGUGAAAGCUCUAGAAACACAGCAGAACAUCAGAGCUUCUGAACACAUGUUAUGUUUUGUUCUACUUUAUAAUAAGAGGCUGUUUAACUCAAAGCCUUUACAUAUAAAACAACAACUACCAACUCAUUUGCUCUUAAAUGUCUGACAGUGACAGAGAGCAGCAUGUAAACAAAGCUGAUUAAACAAACAGGAGAGCUCUGCUUAAACAUGUCACUAAAGACACUUCAAUAAGUGCUAAACAUGAACUUAACUGCGACUGAAGUACAAGAAAUAAAGACUUCAUGAGGCAAAGCAGGAGAAAUACUGUACAGUUACUUACAGAUGACUUCUGUUGGAAUGGAUCUACACUGAUGUCUGUUUUAGUACUCCAGUCCUGGGGACCAACAGAGCUCCACAUUUUACAUGUCUCUCUUAUCAAAUACACACAGGUUCCUGAAAACAGGUUGUGAAUCAGGCCCCGUAUUCACAGAAUCUUUUAUCUUCUCAACAUCAGAAAAAGUUUUAAGCUAAGAGUUUCUUUUACAACUUAUUCACAAAGCUGCAGAUUUAAAGGUUUAAGCUAAGAAUGAGGGCGGGUUCAGCUCAUUGCUAUGGAUGAUGUCAGCAUGCUUAUUAACUAUGCACACAGUGACUGGAUGAUAAGCAGGUGAGGAGUCUCUGUCAGAAAUGGGUUGAUAGACACUUUGCAGAGGACAAUAUCAUGUAGCCAUGUUCAAAUAAAGGUUUUAAAAUGCAGGCUGAGUGAAGAAUUGAACUCCUUACUCUUAAUUUGACAGUCAUUAAAUAAAGACUUCUAAUGUUUUAA